rnacentral:lncRNA from 1 species
UGCCUCAAAAAUCUAUCUAGUCACCCAUGCUAGAUGAACUCAAUCUCAUCUUGUAGCUAGAUACAUUCCUCAAUGUCAUGGUCAUGGUUGCGAUGGUAUAGGUAGUAUUUAUUUGGGUCAUAUCGGGUCGGCAGGGCCUGCAUCCUCCUUGAUCUUGGCAGCUCUAAUAGAAUUCCUUUAUCACCAGUUUUGAGGUGGGAUUCUAGAUCAUCAGUUUCGAGCUAGAGUUCUACAUUGUUGUAGACCCCUUCGGUGAUCUACUCAUCUUGGUGAGCACCUCCUAUCUUUGUCCU